GACGAAUACGUUAGCUAAUUAGAGCGGGGAUCCAGCAGACACAUCUCCUGUAGAGUAGGCUAUGAGGUACCAGAUGGCCCCGAAGAAGAGCCAUGUGACAGCGUAGGCCAUGACGAAGACAAACAGCGAGCAGCGCCAGUUGAGGUCCACAAGCGUGGUGAAGAUGUCAGUCAGGUAGCGAUACAACUAUGACUACAGCAGAGGAUAUGAGUUGAAUGAAGGCUCGUAGAGAGAUUGGAAGAUAAACAGAGGAAGGUGCCAGGGGACAAAACUACUCAGAGAGAUGGAUUGUGGCUCAGAGGAAAGCCAGGCUGUUGAAGAAGGGAUAACAAAUGAAAACAGACAGAUGUACAGCAAAGAGGAGAGAAAACUGGAGCAAACAAAGAGCAGAGCUACACUGGAGAGGCCUAAUGAAAAAAGAUGUGCAAGACUGUCAGAAUCGCUGAGGGGUGAAAGCGCUGCAGCACGGUCCAAAUUAGAGAAGAUUCACGACUAUUGCACGAGAGAUGGAAAAGAGUAGGAGGUGCAGAAGUUCAGUUGAUAUACGGUGUGUGUGUGUUUGUGUGUAUGUGUGUGUGGAGUGUAGAGUAUGAAAAUCCAGACUCUGGGGUCAGUUAAUAGCCCCCAAUCUCUGGAGGAGCUAAAUAGAUGCCAGAGAAGCCGAUAAUGACGUACUUGCAACCUUCAUUCAGCUUUAUCCAGACUUGAAUGAAGUGAAUAGAAAGCAGUUGUAAGACUUUACAAACAUUUAUCUCAUCAGUAUCUAGACCGGAAGGCCAUCAAGGACAGGAAGUCGCAUUCAGAGUCACUCACCCCACCCGAAUCGUCCCCUCUCCUUCUCCGUCCCCUGGGUCUUCUUCCUGUGCUGAUUGGCUUGGGCC